rnacentral:rRNA from 1 species
GUGUCAGCAGCCGCGGUAAUACGAAUGGGGCAAGCGUUGUUCGGAUUUACUGGGCGUAAAGCGGGCGUAGGCGGCCGGCUAAGUCGGAUGUGAAAUCCCGGGGCUCAACUCCGGAACUGCAUUCGAUACUGGUCGGCUAGAGUUCGAGAGGGGGAUGCGGAAUUCCGCGUGUAGCAGUGAAAUGCGUAGAUAUGCGGAGGAACACCUGAGGCGAAGGCGGCAUCCUGGAUCGACACUGACGCUGAGGCCCGAAAGCGUGGGGAGCAAACAGGAUUAGAUACCCUGGUAGUCCACGCCCUAAACGAUGUCUACUAGCCGUUGCGGGUAUCGACCCCUGCAGUGGCGCAGCUAACGCGAUAAGUAGACCGCCUGGGGAGUACGGCCGCAAGGUUAAAACUCAAAUGAAUUGACGGGG